AGUGGCGUACGGGUGAGUAACACGUGGGUAAUCUACCUCUUUGUGUGGAAUAACCCUGGGAAACCGGGGCUAAUACCGCAUAAGCUCGAGAGAGGAAAGCAGCAAUGCGCUGAGAGAGGAGCCCGCGGCCGAUUAGCUAGUUGGCAGGGUAAAAGCCUACCAAGGCAGAGAUCGGUAGCCGGCCUGAGAGGGCACACGGCCACACUGGCACUGAAACACGGGCCAGACUCCUACGGGAGGCAGCAGUGGGGAAUCUUGCACAAUGGGGGAAACCCUGAUGCAGCGACGCCGCGUGAGCGAUGAAGCCCUUCGGGGUGUAAAGCUCUUUCGGCAGGGAAGAUUAUGACGGUACCUGCAGAAGCAGCUGCGGCUAACUACGUGCCAGCAGCCGCGGUAAUACGUAGGCAGCAAGCGUUGUUCGGAGUUACUGGGCGUAAAGGGUGUGUAGGCGGUCUUCUAAGUUUGGUGUGAAAUCUCCCGGCUCAACUGGGAGGGUGCGCCGAA
rnacentral:rRNA from 1 species